rnacentral:rRNA from 1 species
UACAGAGGGUGCUAGCGUUGUUCGGAAUCAUUGGGCGUAAAGGGCUCGUAGGUGGCCAACUCAGUCGGACGUGAAAUCCCUCGGCUUAACCGGGGAACUGCGUCCGAUACUGGAUGGCUUGAGAUCGGGAGAGGGAUGCGGAAUUCCAGGUGUAGCGGUGAAAUGCGUAGAUAUCUGGAGGAACACCGGUGGCGAAGGCGGCAUCCUGGACCGACACUGACACUGAGGAGCGAAAGCCAGGGGAGCAAACGGG